UUUACUGCAUAAUACAAGAGGAGUUUUAUGUAAAGAUUGCCUCUACUGUUUUGUCUCAGAAUUAACCAGAAAUAUCCUUUUUCAAAAACUUUCUAAAAUCAUUAAGGAAAUGGCAAUUGUGAUAAGAAUAGGAAGAGGAAGAAUGAGAGACAAUUUUGGAGCAUAAGGUUACUGUGGAGGAGGCCAGAUCUUAAUGGGAUUUUAAAGCAGGGGACUUUGGCUAGCUAGAUGACAGUAUGGCAAGACUGACAGUAUGGUGGCACUGGGAGUCUGGUAAUUGAGGAAGGGAGUAUCAGGUCAUGAAAGAGGCAGUGGCACAGAAAAGUGUUUAGUAAGAAGCACCAUACAUAACCCUCACUGUUCAAUUUUGUUUCAGACUAGUCCUUACCUCCUGUGAAAACCCAGGGGCAAAGUGAAUCUGCCAUUUGACUCAUAUUCCUGUCAACUUCAGGGUGACUGCUACAGACACAGAGGGAUGUUCUUGGAUUGAUAAUUUUUGCCAGUCAUGAAAGUAAAUAUUUCCACAGGGAGCAGGGCUGAUAUUACUGGCUCAGCGCCUCAUGGUGAGUUACAGUUAUAAUGGGGACAGCAGGCUUCUAUAACUCUGUUUAAUAGAAAGCAGGGUACCAGCAGAGAUUUUCUAACUCUGCAUUUAAAAUCCCCCCAAUAGCUAUUAUUACUUCUUAAAACCAUUUGAGCAUUAGUGCCAAAUCAAGUGGAAUAGUUUCAUUUAAAUAAUUUAAGGGGCUGACUGAUAUUCUCACAUUGACCAUAAUAAAUAAUAUUAUUAAUUUCAAGAGAGAGAGAAGGAUCAGAAUAUUGUGAUUUUGGUUUUCUUUCAACUGAAAAGUAUUUUGAAAAGGAUUAAAGAAACAGAUUUUCCUCCUCUGAGUUUGACUCCCUGUGUAUCCCACCUCUGGUCCUUUCAUAGAAACACCCACCCAUUGUGUUUAGCCCCAUUUACCUGCCCCUGCAGGGAGGCGUCCUGUGGAGGGAAGUUUUAGUCUUCUGUGGAACAAGCUUAUUGAUCAGCAGGGUUUGCUCACUCAAGUGUAAGGACAUUCUGAUUCUUUUCCCUUGGGUUUUCUUUUCCUUCCUAAGAAAACUCUAUGAAGAAUUCUUUAACCCCUCUUAUUGUGUUUCCAGUCAAUCUUUCAUUUGAUAUGAUGUGAAAAAAAAAAUAAGCAAAAAAAAAAAAAAACACAUCUUAAGACUUAUCUCCAAGUAAAAAACUGUCUACCUACAGUAGCUACUCUCUUUGUUUACAUUAUCUGUAUUUUCUCUGUGUAUCAUCCCAGGUAGUCAUCAUAACUCCAUUUUUAAGACUGAAAUAUUGAGUAUCUUUUUAAUCGCUUCUGUGCUGCCAAUAAAUAUUUAAAUACCACUAUGUUUCUCAAUAUUCCGAUCAUAAAAAUUAUUUGAAAGUACACAUUUCUAAUUUUCUCCUUGAAAUUUGGAUUUAGGAUAUCUAGGGUAGGGCUUGGAAUCAGUAAUUGUAGUAUUUCCAGGUGAUUUAAGUAUUGGAAAUACUGAAUUAUCUCCUAAGUUUGACAAUUUAAAGACAAUUACAUCUCUUGAUGUUCCAAAAUGAAUAUCAGCAUUAGUUAUUUCAUUUCUUCUUCCUAGUAUUUUGGGCUUCACAUUUCCUGAAACUACUGCUGUCAUUUCCAUUGAAUCCUUUCAUUUUAGAACUGAAGUUGCCUCUGCUCAGCUCUAGUCUUCUUUGAGGUGAAAUUUGAGGGUCUUUGGUCACUUGUGAUAGACUAGAGGAGAGGAGAAAGAGCUAAAAGGAAAAUUACUAUGAUAUGGCUGAUCUAGCUCUAACGAUGAGGACCAACCAGGAAGUAACACGCUUUGAUAAAUGUGUAAUGAAAAAUUUACUUGCAGAGGAAACAAGGCUGGAGAUGGCUGGGAGCCAAGAACAUCUGUGUUCCUGGUAUCCCAAAUGUGUGGAAGUAGCAGAUGUAACUGAAUAUAUAAUAGAAACCCUGGCGCAAUUCCUAAUAAAGUGGAAGAGACCUCUGGAUAUUACAGAAAGCUUUCCAAAACCUCCCAAAAUGAAAAAUGCUGGGGAACUCCUAAGUAAUAUUAUUAACUAUCUUUAGGAGAGAUAUUAUUAAAGUGGCUCAAAACAAUGAAUAUGGCUUAUUUACAUAAGACAAAGGGAAGUUACCCACUGAACACAACUGAUAACACAACUCAGGAAAUAUAUUGUGUGUAAAUAUAAUAAUGAAAUUAUGUUUAGCAUACAUAUAGAAGGUGAAGUAUAAGAUACGUCACACAUCAUCUUUGCUUUAAUAGUUCUUCAUGCUUUUUAUAGGCUCAGCUAAUACUUCUAAGAAUGACUGGACUGAGGAGGAAUGAGAUAUUAAGAAAAUAGAAUAAAAUAUAAAGUGCAGACUAGGAAAAGACAGAAUAUAGCAGCUGCUGUUUUGCUUAGUCCAUUACAUAAAGAAAAUUUAUUUUAUUUAUUUUUUAUUUUUAACUUAAAAUUUUUUUAAUGUUUAUUUCUUUUUGAGAGACAGAGAGAGAGAGAGAGAGAGAGAGAGAGAGAGAGAAUAAACAGGGGAGGGACAGAGAGAGACAGAGACACAGAAUCCGAAGCAGACUCCAGGCUCUGAGCUGUCAGCACAGAGCCCAAUAUGGGACUUGAACUCACGACCUAUGAGAUCACGAUCUGAGUGCAUUCAGUCACUUAACCCACUGAGCCACCCAGGUGCCCUGAUAAAAUUUAUUUUAAAGCUCUUAUUAAAAGAGUAUCUGGGUAGGCCACAGUAGUUGGCACACUUUUAGUAUUAUAUAUGUGGUAAGAGUGGAUACACAACACCUUUUUCUUUACUACCUUUUAGCUAGGAUUGACUGUGUGACACAAUUCUGAUUAAUGAAAUGUAAAUGGAAUUAUGUUGGGUCAGUUUUUUUUUCUUGAUAAAAGUAGAUAGAUCUGGCUGGAAGGCCUCUUGAUCCUUCCUUCUUCCUGCUUACAAUGUGGACAUGAUGCUAAAGAUACAGCAGCCAUACUGUGAUUAUGAGGUGACAACCAUAAGGAUGAAAGUGGGCCAUGUAAACAAGACAAGGUGCAAGGACCUAUAUCAAUACCCCAAUGGCCACUGUGCCAACACCGGACUGCUAUCUCUAUAUUUUUGGUUAUGUGAGACAAAAAAACCCAAUUUGUUUUUGCUACACUUGGUUGGGAUUUCUUAUACUUGCUGCUCAACCCGUUCCUAAUGGAUGUGGUAGUUACAAAUUAUUAGGACUGUCAACAUUGUACAAAAUUUUAAAUUAAGUUGUCAGUAUCCUUAGCCUCACUUUUCUACAUAAUUUCCUCAGAAUCACUACUGGUCAGUGCUACCUGUCUUCAAUGAAUAAUCAAUUAUUUAGGUCUCAAGUAUCCUCAUCUGCUCUAUCCAUUAUAUUUUCUUAUUUAAAAAAUUUUUCUUUUAAUGUUUAAUUUUUGAGAGAGAGAGUGAGACAGAGCGUGAGCCAGAGAGAGGGAGACACAGAAUUGGAAGACACAGAAUUGGAAGCAGGCUCCAGGCUCUGAGCUAUCAGCACAGAGCCUGACGCGGGGCUUGAAACACAAACCGUGAGAACAUAACCUGAGACGAAGUUGGAUGCCCAACCAAAUGAGCCACCCAGGUGCCCCCCCCCCAUUAUAUUUUCUUAUUAAGAGUUACUAAAAUACGUUAUAUUUAAUUUAAUAUAUAUUUAUCAUUGAUAUAUAUACAUAUAUAUGUACAUAUAUGUACAUAUAUAUGUAUACACACACACACACACACACACACAUAUAUGGGUGGCUCAUAUCAGUUAAGCGUCUGACUUCAGCUCAGGCCAUGAUGUCACACUCUGUGAGUUCGAGCCCCAUGUAGGCCUCUGUGCUGACAGCUCAGAGCCUGGAGCCUGCUUCAGAUUCUGUGUCUCCCCCUCGCUCUGCCCCUCCCCUGCUCAUGAUCUGUCUCUCUCUGUCUCAAAAAUAAAGAAAAACAUUUAAAAAAUUUAAAAAAAAGGAAAAUGUGAUCUCAAUUUAAAACACCCUGCAUGUGCAUUAUAUGACAUGAAAACUUUGUCAAAAAUGGGAGUGUUAAUUGUGGAGUUUUGGACAUAAGCUAGAAAUGGGAGAAUUCCAGCAGUGAGUGGAGGGUGAGAAGGAAAAAGUCUUAAGUAACUUGUAUCACAUUCUGUUAAGACUAAUGCUGAAUAAAACUUCUUACCUGGUUUAGAUGGAUCAGCUAUAUUAAAUGUUUAUUUUAUGUGCCUUCCUUUGUCAUCAAUCCUAAAUUUCUUUUCUUGCCAUUAUAUUGGGACCCACAUCAAAUUUGUUUAAAAUGAUUAUUAUACUAUAAUAUUUCCUUCAUUCACAUGCUUAGAGAAGUCACCAAAUUCCCUAAAUAUAACUAGAUCAGAUUAUUGGUUGAACUUACAUGGUUACAAGUAUGACUGAGUAAAAGAAGAAAAGAAGGUGAGUGGAAAUUUUGUGGCCUGCCAUGCCACUGAAGGACAGUUCUGCAAAGCUGUUGGGGACUUCUUCAGACAAAGUUGGCUGUCAGAAGAAUCUCUCAAGUAAGAGGCUGUGUCAGUAUUUCCAUCAUGCUUAGUUACUGCUCUGAGCAGUCUAUGGAAAACAUUUGCCUCAGUACAAAUACAGUGAUGGAUUUCAGAACUCAGCAGCUGUGGUUCUUGGGUUAUUUAUACUCCUAUAGAUGGAAGUUGGAAAGUUACAUUUUCAUGGCUACCAAAAUAGGCUGUAAAAUAUCAACUUCUAGGGAAAAUCACUUAAGAAUUUUUUCUUAGAAUUUUGAAAAAAACAGUCUAAGGUAAUUAAUUACUACAGAAUAAUCUUUCUUUCAAAAUAAAUACUCAUAAUGGUAAACAAGACCUUUAAGAAAGUGAAAGAUCUUUCAGAUCAAUUGCUUUCUCCACAAUAUCUUCAUUUCAUUUUCUUCUUUUAAAAUCACUUCUGAUUUUAGGCAAAGCUACUUUCGAGAAGCUAGGAAAGAAGAAUAUCUCAAGUUGUGAUGAUUUACUCUAGAAAAAUAUGUAUAAUAUUUAUUAAACACUUAUUGAACAACUUCUAUAUAUAUUUGGUAUUUUUAUAUUUGAUAAGGAUAUAGCACUGAACAGAAAAAAACACAAAAUAUCUCUACUGUGGAGUUUAUGUUCCUUAUGUUGAUCAAAGAAUGGCUAGGUCAUUGUCAGAAUAGGCUAUGCAUGUAAUUUCCAAACUUCAGUGUGCAAUAGAAUCACCUGGAGGACAUGUUAAGACACAAAUUACUGAGCUCCAUUCCCAGAGUUUCUGAUCUAGUCAAUAAAUGUAGAAUAGAGCCAACUCAAACUACUGUCAAGGUCCCAGGAUAUGAAAAUGAAUGAAUGGAAUAUUUGGUGAACAUUACUUCUUCUGCCACAAGUAUGAAACGUAGAGAGGGAAGAAAAAAUUUGAAUAAUUAUUAAUAGGUAUAAAUAUAGGCAAAGCUACUUGGUCAAGCAAUUCAGAUAUCGUUAACAUCAACUCAAAUGAAGAUAUGGAAGACAUGUAUUUCAAUGUUGUGGAUAACAUAUAAUUAGGAAAAAUAAUUAAGAUUUUAAUUAACAUCUGAAAUCAUAUACCAAAACCAAAGGACAAAAAUCACUACAAGUCAUGCAUUCAUUUAAAAAAAAACAUCAAAUAUAGGAUUCAAAAUUUAUUCAUUUACUCAUUUAACAACUAAUUAUUAAUAACCAGUAUGUGCCAAAAAUGAAUUUGUGUCAGGGAUACAGUCAUUAUUUAUUUCCCCUCUGAAUUUACUGAGACAUUAUUGACAUACAGCAUAUAUAAAUGUAAGGUAUAAAAUAUGAUGAUUUGAUACACAUAUAUAUCAUGAAAUGAUUAUCACAAUAAGAUUAGUUAAUUCCAUUCCUUCACAUAAUUACAUGUUUUGUGUGUGUGUGUGGUGACAAAAUUCUUUUGCAGUAAAUUUAAGAUUUAUUCUCUUAACCAUUUCAAGUAUAUAAUAAAUACGGUAUUGUUAAUUAUAGUCACAUUAGGUGCCUAGACCAUAUUCAUAUGACAGCUAUAAGUUUACACUCUUGACCAAAGUUUCCCCUGUUUCCCCAUCCCCCCAACCACAGGCAACCCAAUUCUAUUCUCUAUAAGUUUGGCAUUUUAGUUUUCCAAUAUAAAUAAAAACAUACAGAGUUUGUCUUUCUCUGUCUGACUUAUUUCAUGUAGCAUGAUACACUCUAGGUUCAUCCAUCUUGUUGCAAAUGGCAAGAUCUCAUUCUCAUAGUCAAAUAGUGUUCCAUAAAGUGUUCUUUAUUAUCUAUAAAGAAAUACACACACACAC